rnacentral:lncRNA from 1 species
AUCAAAGAUUAUUUUUAUAUCUUCAAUGACUAAGCCGAUCAAAGGCCGUCUUCUAUUUUCAAUGAUUAAGCUGAUCAAAGAUCAUUUUUAUAUCUUUGAUGACAAAGUCGAUUAAAGGCAAUCUUUAAUUUUCUGCAGAUCGACAAGCAGACAAGAAACUGCUAUUUUUAGGAAAAAAAAUUCAUUGAGGAAAGUCAUGGAUAUAUUACUGAUAGUAGA